AUUGAACGCUGGCGGCAUGCCUUACACAUGCAAGUCGAACGGUAACAGGUCUUCGGAUGCUGACGAGUGGCGAACGGGUGAGUAAUACAUCGGAACGUGCCUAGUAGUGGGGGAUAACUACUCGAAAGAGUGGCUAAUACCGCAUGAGAUCUACGGAUGAAAGCAGGGGAUCGCAAGACCUUGUGCUACUAGAGCGGCCGAUGGCAGAUUAGGUAGUUGGUGGAUAAAAGCUUACCAAGCCGACGAUCCGUAGCUGGUCUGAGAGGACGAUCAGCCACACUGGGACUGAGACACGGCCCAGACUCCUACGGGAGGCAGCAGUGGGGAAUUUUGGACAAUGGGCGCAAGCCUGAUCCAGCAAUGCCGCGUGCAGGAUGAAGGCCUUCGGGUUGUAAACUGCUUUUGUACGGAACGAAAAGCCCCGGGUUAAUACCCUGGGGUCAUGACGGUACCGUAAGAAUAAGCACCGGCUAACUACGUGCCAGCAGCCGCGGUAA
rnacentral:rRNA from 1 species